UCCUACGGGAGGCAGCAGUAGGGAAUAUUGGUCAAUGGACGCAAGUCUGAACCAGCCAUGCCGCGUGCAGGAAGACGGCCCUCUGGGUUGUAAACUGCUUUUAUAUAGGAAGAAACCCCUGGAUGCGUUCGGGGCUGACGGUACUAUAUGAAUAAGGAUCGGCUAACUUCGUGCCAGCAGCCGCGGUAAGACGAAGGAUCCAAGCGUUGUCCGGAUUUACUGGGUUUAAAGGGUGCGUAGGCGGAUAUUUAAGUCAGUGGUGAAAUCCCAUAGCUCAACUAUGGAACUGCCAUUGAAACUGGAUAUCUUGAAUACGGCUGAGGUAGAUGGAAUAUAACAUGUAGCGGUGAAAUGCUUAGAUAUGUUAUAGAACACCGAUUGCGAAGGCAGUCUACUAAGCCGUGAUUGACGCUGAGGCACGAAAGCGUGGGGAGCGAACAGGAUUAGAUACCCUGGUAGUCCACGCCCUAAACGUUGAUUACUCGCUGUUGGCGAUACAUUGUCAGCGGCUAAGCGAAAGCGUUAAGUAAUCCACCUGGGAAGUACGACCGCAAGGUUGAAACUCA
rnacentral:rRNA from 1 species